GGCGGCGUAGCUCAGGGGCUAGAGCAUUCGGUUCAUACCCGACAGGUCGUAGGUUCAAAUCCCACCGCCGCUACCA
rnacentral:tRNA from 1 species